rnacentral:lncRNA from 1 species
AUGGUGGAGGAGACAGAUAAUCAGUGCCUUCUGCACAGAGUGGACACUGUGCUCAGAGAGCUUGUCGCUUGCCCAGUAUCUCACAACAAGGACUCAAACGGAGCUCCCGCUGGCUCCCACCUCCCGGCCUCUGCUCCCUGACACUGGGGAUCCACGACCCCACACCCUCCCAUCUCCUUCCCGGCUCAUCUCCUUCCCAGCUCGUUUCCUCCGGAUGAUAAGAGCUGGGUAAAUGUUUGCCUGAUGAUGAAAGUAGUUUAUCCUUCAGCCAGCACGUCCACUAAAUAGUCUUUGUAUUCAUUUUCCAUUAAAGCUUCUUCUCCCCAAAGCUUAAAAUAGGAUUGGAAAUUUGCUGUGUUUGACCUAUUUUCACCCAUUAGCAUAAUUAAUCAAACUA